CGUGGCGGCGGCCCUGAAAGCGGAGCUCGGAGCCCGAGGCGGCUCCGGCUGAGGCGGCUCCAGAGGCGGCGGCGACCCGCUUCCCGCUCCCCGCUCGUCCUCCGGGCGCGCCAGCCCAGGCCGCUCCCCGGGGCCCGAAGAUGCCGGCCGUGUCGAAGGGGGACGGGAUGCGGGGCUUGGCGGUCUUCAUCUCCGACAUUCGCAACUGCAAAAGUAAAGAAGCAAGAAAUAAAGAGAAUAAACAAAGAACUGGCAAAACAUCAGAUCAAAAUUUAAAGGAGAGCGAGACAGAGCAUGAGCUGGGGAGGAGCAGAGAG